GGAACCCCGAUUCACCCCGAGCCCCGCGCCCCGCGCCCCGCGGGUCCCAGGCGGUUCGAGCGGAGGAGAAGGAGGAGGAGAAAGCGAUUUCCUCUCCCGGGUAGAGUCCUUUUUGUCUGCCCGUGCGGGGGCGUUUCCUGUGCCGAGACAGCGUUGCCAGCUGAACUGGAGACACCAGCAGUCCCAGGUGACGUGCAAGUUGGAUCUUUGCGUCUGAUGCAGCCCCAGAUGUUCCGGAGGAGGAGAAGGGAACCAGUCCCCUCGGUCCCAGCUCACCAGGCACUGGAAACACACACACACAGGGAGGCCGACCCGGCGCGGUGGGACCAGACCCUCCCCAGCUCUCCCUCUCCUGUGGACGCCUGCGCCCCCAGCACUUCCCCAGGGCCGGGGACUCAUCCUGGGCAGCAGCUGGCACCUAGGGGCCUUCACUGCCUCUUCUCCACCAAAGCUUCCUUACCCCAGACCCCCUCCCGUGCUGCCGGCUUGGUGACAGUUUGCGGAAUCAAUAAACCACUCCACGCUAA